AUUUUUGCAUUUUGCAUUGUAGACCAGUGGUGUCCAAACUACGGCCCGCGGGCCAUUUGCGGCCCGUUUCCUUUUUUGGAGCGGCCCUCGAGGUAUUUUAGAAAUAGAAUGAAAGUUGGCCCGCUGUUAGAGGAGCCGCUCGCUGCAGCCUGUAGGAAGGCGGAGUUGGACAUCCAACCCCGCCCACAUCCAACUCCGCCCAUGUCCAACUCCGCCUUACGUCUAAAGCAACACCCACCUUACGUCCGUCACGAACGCCUACAUUUACUCCAGGUAAACAGGAAUUGUAGCCGAGAAAGCAGCUAAAGCAUCUAUCUGAUUUAUAUCUCCGGUUAUGGCGCAUCCAACACAUGUCCAGGCCACUCCUGACCCUUCACGGUUUGGCCAGUGUGGUGUUUUCAAAUGCCCCUGCUUCAGUUUUGACACUGACCAGCGAUUUAAUAACAGCCUACAUCUACAAAACCAUAUCAAACAAGCAGUCGAGAAUAACGGAAAGUUCAGCGUGUUGAACGUGUGACUGAUGAAGGAGAUAGAAUGGGCAACGUCUCCUUUGAACAGAUGCCCCUUAUUCUCAUAGAUACAGUUCUGGAUGAGGGUGACAAAGCUUUUUUAAAGCUGUCACUGGUUUGUCGUCUCUUCCGGGACAUUGUUUGGACAACAAUCAUUCCGGGCCCGGGCACAUUUCGAGUGGCUUGACAGUGUAGUGCCAUGAAAACAUCACAGUGCUGCAUGUAAAGACGAGUUUCGCAGGAUGUACGAACUGCAGUGCUGCCAGAACUGUCAAGAAACUUAUAAAGACUACAUACUGGGCUACGUUGGGCAUGGGAGACGAGGGGAGCUUGUGGCAUUUUACAGCGAAAACGAGCACCCUGGAUUUUGCAGCCAGCUUCAUGAAUGGCUGGGUGUGUGAGUGGCUGGGUGUGUGAGUGGCUGAGUGUGAGUGGCUGGGUGUUGCAUUUUUAAAUAAAGACUUCUGUAUUUGUUUGACCAAAGCAUGUAACCAAACAUUUUAAAGGCUAGUGUGCCAAUAAAUGCCAAUAAAGAUAUUGUAUUAGCUUGGACAAA